GUGCUUGCUUUAGCAGCACAUACACUAAAAUUGGAACGAUACAGUGUUAGCAUGGCCCCUGUGCAGGGAUGAUUUGCAAAUUCAUGAAGCAUUCCGUAUUUAA